rnacentral:rRNA from 1 species
GAUGAACGCUGGCGGCGUGCCUAACACAUGCAAGUCGAACGAAUCAGAUAUUCAACACUGAGUAUUUAGACGAAGGAAAAAAGUUAGCCAGCGUCAAGGACGAACGAUAGAGAGUCCUUUACGCGUUCAAAAAGUGUGCUAACACAUGAUAGUCUGAAUGUUGAGUGUUGAAUAUCUGAUUAGUGGCGGACGGGUGAGUAACGCGUGGGAAACCUGCCCUAUACAGGGGGAUAGCCUCGGGAAACUGGGAUUAAUACCCCAUAAAACUCUAGUAUCGCAUGAUACAUGAGCCAAAGAUUUAUCGGUAUAGGAUGGUCCCGCGUCUGAUUAGCUAGUUGGUGAGGUAACGCUCACCAAGGCGACGAUCAGUAGCCGGCCUGAGAGGGUGAACGGCCACACUGGAACUGAGACACGGUCCAGACUCCGUACGGGAGGCAGCAGUGGGGAAUAUUGCACAAGUACGGGGGAAACCCUGAUGCAGCGACGCCGCGG